rnacentral:lncRNA from 1 species
AGGAAGAGGAAGUUGGCACCCAAGCAAACUUGUACAGACCAGCCUCCUCUUUACCAAGAUCCAUAGGCAUCUUCAUAGAAGGGGCCUGUAACAUGUGGAGGAAACAUGAAGUUGCAGUGAACAAGACUAUGCAAUGCAACUGUUUUACUAGUUUGUGGACAGAAAUUAAGUUGUGUUUGAAAGAAGGAACAAGUAAGACAUCAUGAAGAAUGAUGAAUGGAUUUAAUGCAAAAGAUCCUGUGCAUGUCACUUUCACUUUAUAUCCAUUAGGAAGAGUUACAAGAUAGGGUACAGUUAAGGGUGUGAGAUUGAAGAGUAAAUCUUGAUUAAAGGUCAUAUGGUUAGAUGCCCCUGAGUCUAUUAUCCAGGUGGCAGAAUUAAUGUGAGUAAGCAUGCAAAUUUUGGAAUCAGAAACAUGGCUCUAAGUAAGCAUAGUACCAGCAAAAUUGGCAGCAUACAUGGGAGGAGGAGUCUGGGCAGUGGAGUCCCCUAACUGAGUUUGUUGAAGCAAGGUCAUCAAUUGGUCAUAUUGUUGUCUGCUCAACCCAGUAUCACAGAAAUCUGGCCAUCCAUGUUUGGAACAGGGUGAUGGCUUUCAGGAGGAUUUCCAUGAGGAACAGACA